UAUUUUGCUUGGUCAUUAAGACCCUGAGCUGUUGCCUUAGAUGACCUGCUUUUGGGAAUUUGUUUCUGUUUUGAGAGGUCAGAAUUGCCCCUCACUAGGAUUGCUGUCAGCCAGCAUGACAACCAGGGAGUUCUGCUGGAGAAAUAUUUUGAGGAACUCCAUAAUGAAAGAGGUUAUCAUCCAGGAGUUAUACGGAGUUUGUUUUUAAACCCUGCGAUGGGAAGAUACUAUGCUAUGAACAAAGCAGCGAUGGCUUUCAAGUUCCUCCCCAGGCAGGGGCAGCACGAGGAGAGCAGCGGUGCUGUUUUGGAUCGCACGAGCCCAGGUACCCACCGACCCACCCUCUGCCCGGCCCCGCGGGACACUCGGCCUCCUCCUGCUCAGUCAUUUGGGCUAGUUCAAUACGUGCAAGAAAACAGACAAGCUUCCAGUUGCUGAUCUGUUAUUUCUAAAGGUACUAAAUUAUUUUAAGGAGUCCUGAGAUUCAAGUCUGAAGAUGUUUGCUUAAUCCCAAGGUUUUUUGCUUGUAAGGAGCUGCAGAGGCGAAAAGAUCAUGUCAGUCUGAGUAGAUAUUACACAUCUAAUGCUGCCCAUCGUUUCUUAUCUAUGCUGUGGCCACAGUGGAUGAAUGUCAGAGUUCAACAUACCCAUGCUGUUUAACCUGGUGCUAUUAUCACAAUGACCUUAACCAGCUAGGCAGUCCACAGAGCAGGCACUAAACAGAGCAUGAGAUGAAUUUAAUGGAUUACUAGGGAGUAUGUUAUUGCAAGGAGAAGCACCUGUGGAGCAACAUAUUUACCUCAGUUCCACUGAAUGAGCAUGUUGAAAGUGAAUUGGCACAGCCUUCUGCUUUAUGAAAGGAAGUAUUUUGUCAUUCUUCAUGCUUUCAUUAAGAGGAUUUAAGGCAGAGGAUGCUGAAAUGGUUCUGUGUUGGCACCAAAAAAAAUCACAGAUUAAUAGUGAAGCUUGAAAAUAGUAAAGCAUCUGAUUUUUGCUUUUUCAUCAACAAGCCUAAUAAACCAGGAUGAAACUAUUAACAUACAAAUAGACAACCUUCUGAUUAAAGCAGCAGCAGCCAGCCCAGCCUGAAAAAGACCUCUUCACGCAGAAAGCAAUUAUGAUGGCGAAUGUUGUCCGAUUCACUUCCAUUUGCAACAAACCUAGAAAAUCAAAAUGUAACCAAUCAUAAUUUUGCAGAAAACACUGGUGUUAUUUAAAAACUAAGAUGCUCUUGAUUUUUAUGAUCAUGAUUGGCAUUUUAGAAGCCCCCAAAUCUACUGUAAAGGUUUUACUCCUUUGAAUUUCUACUGUAGACAUAUACUAUAAAUAAGGAAAAGUAAGCCCUCGGGAUAAAGUAUUGUGGGAAACCUCCCCAGAGUAAAGGCAGAAAUUAUCCUAGGUUAUACUACUAUAGUAUACUUACUUUCCUUUCCUGCGUCUCUCCCCCAAGAUGAUCUUCUGUGGGAAGAAUAUACUUACUGACUUAACCAUCAUUUAUCAGUCUACCUCCUGAUGAUAAUAAUCUAGUGGAAAGAAGUUUCCUGAUUUUCAAGUCAAUCCACGGCAACUGAUACCGCUAGGCUAUUUCAGCUUUUGCAUAAAAGAAAUAUUGUUUGGUCAUGAAAUGAAUCACUGGCACAGGAGAAUUUUGCCUCGUGACAAAGCAAACCCGGUUUCCUGUUUACGUGGACCGAGCGUUCCUUGCACAAACCAUCGCGAAAGCCUGUCCAGAAGCACGUUCGCUCCUCUGAGCAGGGAGGCUUUCCAGUAAUGCUGUGCUGCCUAAUUCCAGCUUAUACAAGUGGAGUAUAAGUGGUACCAAGCCCUUCUGAAUUUCCUCUUGCCCCCAUUCAGAAAGGGUGUAAAUACCUGCCUAAACCCCUCCUUAUUCAGGAAAGUGCAGAGGCUCAUCUGUAAUUUAAAGCAUGUGUUUAAGUCCAGUUGAUUUCUGAGGUGAACGCAUGUGUAUGUUGAGAUAUAUUUUCUCCAUAUCUUGAACCUCAAUAUACCUUGCUGCUUCUGGAGGAAGGAGUCAAGAAGCAUUUUUCCAGGUGGAGAUAGGAGUGCCUAUAGAAUUAUCUGAAGGAAUCCACUUCAUUUCACCUGAUAGAUGCAGUUCUCUUGGAUGUUUUAAAAAGAAGUCUUAACAUGGUAACUCCGAAAUGUUGACACUUUUUGGUAUCUGUCCUAAUUUUGAUAUUAAGGCACGUAUACAUUUAAUGUGUCAGUGAGCUCACCAUCCAGUUUCCUUCUCAUUUCAUAAAACUUAUUUUGAGUAUUCCUUUCUAGCAGGACAUAAAACUGGUAACUUCCCACUUAUUUAGGUGGUCCAAAACCUGAUCACCAUAUAUGAUGAAAGAAUUCAGGGUUGGAGCAUGGUGGAACAUGAUUUCUGCGUCACACAGAGUUUAAAACCUAAUUAGACAGCUAAAGUAGCCUCCAAAUAUGCAGACACUCUUUUGCACUCCAAAAUAGUUGCAUCAGCUAUCAAUCAAGUGGACAAAUGAUGCAGACAGGCAACCAAGGCUUUUCAUUUGUGAGUAAUAUUAAUUGUGGGUGUAAAAUGAAAGAUAUACUAAGUGAUGAAGGUACCACUCAGUACUUGGAUGAAACGCUUUCUAAAGUUAACUCCAAAUGGGGAGCUACAAACGCGACACUUUUAUAAGCAAAUAAAAUUUCCGUUCUGCACUGACCAUUGUAUGUUUUUGAAAAAAUAUAUAGAAGUGCCCAUUGAUUAUUGUUCUCCUUGAUUUUGGUUUUCAGGCACUGUAUUUUGGCUCACUGUUCAUUAGUCUGGAGUAAUUGGGCUGGGAGAGCAGCAUUCAGACCGCAGUUCAAUAUGCAAGGCAAAUAAAUUAUGCAAUUAUCUGAUACAGAGUCAGAGAGUAGCAUCAUAUGGAAACAAAUUGUGCCAAAUCAAGACCACAUGUUUUUAAGAGGAUUAUGAACUUCAGUGAUAUGCAGCUAAAUGUCAUCUAUUUGCAAAGAAUUGAGGAAUUUGAAAAAAAUCCUUUUGAAGAUUCUAGUGAAUAUAGUAAUUGUAAAAACACUUGCCAGGAUUUUUCCCAAGGUCAGUGUCAAGAAGUCUGAAAUUCAGACAGAAAUGACUCUGUUCUUGAUAAUCCUUUCUGAAUGGGAUUCCUGAUUGCCCUUCACUAGGGUCUGAUCAUUUUCCCGUGGAAUACUGGACAUCUGAACCCAUGAUUUCAAGAAGUGAUUGACCCCACAAGUUUUCAGAUAUUUAAGUUUUUUGUAAAUCAUGUUAAAAUGGACCAUUCGUUAUUUACAAGGAUUUAAAAUCUAAAUAUCUCAGAGAU